ACUUAACUGAAGAGUUUGAUCAUGGCUCAGAUUGAACGCUGGCGGCAGGCCUAACACAUGCAAGUCGAGCGGAUGAGAGGAGCUUGCUCCUCGAUUCAGCGGCGGACGGGUGAGUAAUGCCUAGGAAUCUGCCUAGUAGUG
rnacentral:rRNA from 1 species